GACGAACGCUGGCGGCGUGCUUAACACAUGCAAGUCGAACGGAGAAUUUAUUUCGGUAAAUUCUUAGUGGCGAACGGGUGAGUAACGCGUGGGCAACCUGCCCUUCAGAUGGGGACAACAUCCCGAAAGGGGUGCUAAUACCGAAUACGAUCACGCUGCCGCAUGGCGGAGUGAUGAAAGAUGGCCUCUAUAUAUAAGCUAUCGCUGAAGGAUGGGCCUGCGUCUGAUUAGCUAGUUGGUGGGGUAACGGCCUACCAAGGCGAUGAUCAGUAGCCGGUCUGAGAGGAUGAACGACCACAUUGGGACUGAGACACGGCCCAAACUCCUACGGGAGGCAGCAGUGGGGAAUAUUCCGCAAUGGACGAAAGUCUGACGGAGCAACGCCGCGUGAGUGAUGAAGGGUUUCGGACUGUAAAACUCUGUUGUUUAGGACGAAAGUGCCUGUUGCAAAUAGUUGCAGGUAUUGACGGUACUGAACGAGGAAGCCACGGCUAACUACGUGCCAGCAGCCGCCGCGG
rnacentral:rRNA from 1 species